rnacentral:rRNA from 1 species
UGAAUACGAGAUGCUAAGGCGUCGAAGUAGUGUAUGUCAUACUUCCAAGAAAAGCUUGCACUGUCAUAAAUAAGAAAUGCCUGUACCAUAACCGACACAGGUGGUAAGUAGAGUAUACUAAGGGGCGGGAGAUAACUCUCUCUAAGGAACUCGGCAAAAUAACUCCGUAACUUCGGGAGAAGGAGUGCCUUAUUCUUAAGGUUGCAAUAACAAGAUCCAAGCAACUGUUUAUCAAAAACACAGGUCUCCGCUAAGUCGUAAGACGAUGUAUGGGGGCUGACGCCUGCCCAGUGCCAGAAGGUUAAAGAAGUUGGUUAGCAAUUGCGAAGCUGGUAACUGAAGCCCUGGUGAACGGCGGCCGUAACUAUAACGGUCCUAAGGUAGCGAAAUUCCUUGUCGGGUAAGUUCCGACCCGCACGAAAGGCGUAAUGAUUUGGAUGCUGUCUCGGAGAGGGGCUCGGUGAAAUAGACUUGUCUGUGAAGAUGCGGACUACCUGCACCAGGACAGAAAGACCCUAUGAAGCUUUACUGUAACUUGAAAUUGAAAUUGGACUUUAUUUGCGCAGUAUAGGUGGGAGGCGUUGAUUAUAAUCUUGCGGGAUUAUUGGAGCCAUCAGUGAGAUACCACUCUUGUAAUGUUAGAUUUCUAACUUUGAAUCAUUAUCUGGUCAAAGGACAAUUUCAGGCGGGCAGUUUGACUGGGGCGGUCGCCUCCUAAAUGGUAACGGAGGCGUACAAAGGUUUCCUCUGAACGGUUAGAAAUCGUAUCUAGAGUGUAAAGGCAUAAGGAAGCUUGACUGUGAGACCUACAAGUCGAGCAGGGACGAAAGUCGGUCUUAGUGAUCUGACGGUACUGAGUGGAAAGGCCGUCACUCAACGGAUAAAAGUUACUCUAAGGAUAACAGGCUGAUCUCCCCCAAGAGUUCACAUCGACGGGGAGGUUUGGCACCUCGAUGUCGGCUCAUCGCAUCCUGGGGCGGUAGUACGUCCCAAGGGUUGGGCUGUUCGCCCAUGAAAGCGGUACGCGAGCUGGGUUCAGAACGUCGUGAGACAGUUCGGUCCAUAUCCGGUGUAGGCGUUAGAAUAUUGAGAGGAGCCUUCUUUAGUACGAGAGGACCGAGAAGGACAUACCUCUGGUGUACCAGUUAUCGUGCCAACGGUAAACGCUGGGUAGCUAUGUAUGGAGUGGAUAACCGCUGAAAGCAUCUAAGUGGGAAGCCCACCUCAAGAUAAGUAUUCU